ACUAAAAUCAAAUGACACAGUUGGUAAGAAAAUGUGAACGUAAUGCCGGAAAUGCAACCUUUCACUGCAAGCAGCUGCCGGGAGCGCCCGUCUGCAGAGGGAGAACCUGCAGCCCUCUUUAGCUCUGCUCCAAGGACUAAGCCCAGACAGACUACCACAGCAGCCGGAAUACAGUAGUUUAAAUACUAAAAACCAAAUGUCAUACAGGUACACAUCUCUCUUCGUGAAUGCACACAGUAUCUUUUAUAUAUUUAUUUUUUAGUUUUCUGAGACAGAGUCUUUUUUUUUUUUUCUUUUCUUUUUUUCGGAGCUGGGGACCGAACCCAGGGCCUUGCGCUUGCUAGGCAAGCGCUCUACCACUGAGCUAAAUCCCCAGCCCCAGACAGAGUCUUAGUAUAUGACUUUUGCUGUCCUUGAACUGGUGAUAUAAACUAGGCUGGCCUCGAACUCAGAGACCUGCCUGCCUGAGGCUCCUGAGUGCUGGGAUCGAGGGUGUGUGCUUCCAAUCCUACCAUAGGCUCUUCCUGGUUAAAUUCUGAAGCAGUGAUGAGCACGGACAUACUUCAGAGUCAGCUCUGAAAUGCCUGAGGCCUCUACAUGGGGGAAGACGGGAACAUGGCUGUGCUGCUGUCCACUCCACCCCCGAUACAAGUGCUUGGCUGUCCUCAGAGGAUGAAGGAGACUCCCGUCUUCACAUGUCCAACACCUCCCAGCCCUCUGCUCCGUGUCAGUCCCCUCUGGGUUCAGACACCCCUAACAGAGAGGCCUUUAGCUUGCCCUCAGGUCUUGGCAGACCCGGGUGGCUGCCAGGGGUAGCCUCUCGCUCUGCUGUCCUCGUGUGAGAAAAGCCAAGUCUCGUUACCUUUUGGAGCUUCUUUAGACACUCAGAAAUGUAGAGUGUGAUGUAGAUCAAGGUCCUGUCCGCUUCAUUCUACAGGGAGAAGAGAACAACGGUACCCAUGGGAGGUGGAUCCUUCGAGCGUCGGCCUCCAUUAUCCACUGGCAUCCCUAGGGUGCUCAGUUUCCUAACCCAGUCUUGUGGCUGCCCUGAGCCACAGCGGGGCUCAUUUAAAAAACCCUUUCCCCUGAGUGUCUCUGAGAACAGACACACCUCUUCCUUGGCAGUGGGAAAAGCCACUGCACAUACAACAAGUUCUGGGGGAACUCAACAGGCCCAACAUCAUCCCCGACUGUAAGGACAGAAGACAGCCGGUGACCACUGAUCACGUGUGGCCUGUUUUACAGUUACAGUCAGAAAAAGGUUACUCGUGCCUCUGCUCUCGGUUUGGUUCUGAGGUAGGGUCUCUGCUCCACAGCCUGGCUGGCCUCUCAUUUUUGGACAACCUUUAAGCCUCUGGCUCCUCAAAGGCGAGCCUCACAUGGAGCCUGACCCUGUCACAAACACAGCACAGGCUGGCUGCAAGUGACAGAAACGCUGCUUGGCGCUGGAUAGAGUGUCUGUCUCGUACCACCCGUCCCCUUUACAGCCAGGCCCUCUACUCUCCCUCCUCAGAGGGAGGGAAGGGAGGAAGCAGGCCCAGGAAGGCCCAGAGCACUCAUCUUCCCUCAUUCCCACCCCAGGUCCACAGCACAGCGGUGUGACAGACCACCUGAAACACUUGGGACCAAAGUGGUCCAGACGCCUGAGUAGUCUGGACGUGGGGCUAUCUGCACAGGCUUCACCAGCUAAACGCCCCGAAUCAGAAACUCCCAAAUCCAGUCUGUAGUAUAGGACUCUGAAGGAUUUCAGCCUUCACAACAACCCUGACUCGAGGCAGAUUUUUAUCCCGUCUGAAAAGUAAGCACUCCCGGGAGUUACCUUAAUUUCAUAGUUCUUGAAGAAGACGUUGGCCUUGAAGUAAUAGAUGGCUUCAUCCACAAUAUCCGUGUCUUUCGCUAAGCGGGAAACAAGAACGAAGACAGAGACCAUUACCAAAGGUAAACUUCACACCCAGAGGCUGUGAGCAUAGGUGUCCAAGCCUCAUUAUCACAAGAUCUAGAGCUGGAUAAAGGAAACCAAGGUUCUCUGCUGGGUUCAGUUCCUGGGGAUCUGGCACCCUCUGCUGGGCUCCCAGGGCACCAAGCAGCACACAGUACAUGCAGGCAAAACCCGUAUAUGCUGGGCAGUGGUAGCGCACACCUUUAAUCCCAACACUCUGGGGGCAGAGGCAGGUGGGUCUCUUGGUUGGAGUCCCUGGUCUACAGAGAGAGUUCCAAGACAGCCAGAGCUACACAAGGAAACCCUGUCUUGAAAAACAAACCAAAGAAAUGGAGAGAUGGCUCAGCGGUUAAGGGCACUGACUGCUCUUCCAGAGGUCCUGAGUUCAAAACCCAGCAACCACAUGGUGGCUCACAACCAUCCGUAAUGGGACCCGAUGCCCUCUUCUGGUGUGCCUGAAGACAGCUACAGUGUAUGUGUGUGUUUAUAUAUAUGUGUGUGUGUGUGUGUGUAUGUAUGUAUGUAUGUAUGUAUGUAUGUAUGGCUUUUUUUAAAAGAAAAACAAACCAAAACCAAACUAAACUGAAAACCAGAACCAAACAAAACCUUACACGUGUGCCACAUGUGUGCAGAUGCCCACAGAGGUCAGAAGAGGGCAUCAGGUCCCAAGGAGCUGGGGUUACAGGUGACUGACUGUGGGGCCGACGUAGGUGCUGAGACCAGAACUCUGUCCUCUGGAGGAGCAGGAAGUGCUCUUAGCCUCUGAGCCAUUCCUUCAGCCGGAACACAGUGUAACGAAGUGUUCCAUAUGAUGUUAUUCGAACCCAUACACUGUAGUUUCAGGAGAACUACUGAAGGUAUUUAGGAACACUGGGGACAUUUCCUUCCUUUUAUGAAAACUGUGGCUUAAAUCCAGCAUGUUCUGAGUCGUCACAAACUGAGGGAAGCCAGAGCACUCUGUGACAGACACACAGCUCAUUACAUAAUUUCUCUGGCAAUCUGUUGUCUCUUUUUUCAUUUUCAAAGGUCAGACUUCCCGGGUUUGACAAGCAGCAGCUGGUUGCAUCAGCACCACCGACAUCCUUGGCUUGGGCUUCUGUCGUUCUCGCACAGCGCCCUGCACACCUCCCUUACAGCCUAGCUGGUGCCUCUGCCGAGGGUCUCUUCGGAACUUUUGACUCUAGCUUCCUGUUCUUGGCAUCCUCCUCCUAAGAAAAGGAAACUUCUCCAGAGCAGCUAAGGAGAUGGCAGAGGAGUGGAGACCUGGACAGAGCUUGGUACACAAUAGGCAUGGAAAGAUAUCUGCACAGCAGAAAAGGAUUCUUCUAUAGCCGAGGCUUGACCCCAGGGCCUCACGCAAGCUGUAUCCUAUCACAUGGCGGUGCUCUGUCAGACUUCAGCUCAGCUCAGCUCAGCUCAGCUCACAACACAGACAUCUACUCCAACUGUUCCAGCCCCUGCAGGAAGAGAACCGUCACCCUCACGUG